rnacentral:rRNA from 1 species
UACGUGGGGACCAAGCGUUGUUCGGAUUUACUGGGCGUAAAGGGCGCGUAGGCGGCUUAACAAGUCACUUGUGAAAUCUCCGGGCUUAACUCGGAACGGCCAAGUGAAACUGUCAAGCUAGAGUGCAGAAGGGGCAAUCGGAAUUCUUGGUGUAGCGGUGAAAUGCGUAGAUAUCAAGAGGAACACCUGAGGUGAAGACGGGUUGCUGGGCUGCACCUGACGCUGAGCCGCGAAAGCCAGGGGAGCGAACGGG